UCAAUCGGUCGUUGCGCUCCUCCCACCCCCUUGGAAAAAGCUCGAUGCACCCCUAAAAAAAAAAACUCGAUGCGGUCGUCGGCGAGGUUGCGGGGCAGAGCCCAGCCGGCGGAGGCGACGCGGGCGUUGUGGUUUCGCCAUCCCGGUCGCGGGCCAACUCCGUGCGGUAGAGGUUGGUUGGGGCCUCCCGGACCGCACGCCGAUGUAGAUCGACGCCAAUCGUAGUUUGGCUACUCGGCUGUUCGUCGAGCGAAACUGCUCCGCGGUUUGAACGAAGCAAUCAUUCCUCGCUUUGGGAGGAAUCCAUGGCGGAAUGCGGAUGAUGCGGCCCCCUUGCCGGCGGUGAUUAAUGCAGUAUUCAUACUGCUGUGGUCAAUUGAUUCGGCCAGAUCUUUGGAGAUUGGUUAUCACAUUUUUUUUUACUCUCUGGACAGCGAGUGAUGUUCCAAAUUGGCAUUCUUCAUCAGAACUAAGGUAUAAGGCGCGCCUUCAAAACAAGGGAACAGUAAGUUGCCAAGUAACAUGUAUCAAAGAAAUGGAAUGGUUAGCUUCUGUACUUCUUCAAGAAUUUCUGAAAGGAUAUAAUAAACAGGUACCAUGUUACAAAGUUCCCUUUAUUGAUAUCGUUGCAAUCUUUCGCAGCGUGUUAGCCACCUUAUUCUACCAAUAUAUGUUCCAGAAUUACUCGGACCAGUUUGUGUUUAGAUGAGUGUUCCUUUCCUAUUUGCAAUGUUCAUGAUAUCGGUAACUGGUACCGUAACGUUCGGGUGCUGAGUAGGGAUAAAUAAGCGAAUUUUCCAGUUAUUCGGCCGAUAAAUCAGUUAAUCGUCUUUUCGGUGACCCACCGAGUAACGAUUAACUCACUGAGAUGCCGAUUAACUAUCCGAUAUUUGGAACAAUUCCUAUUCAAUUGACUCCGUGAAUAUUUUUAAUGUAUCGGAUAUAAACAGCAAAGUACUUAGAUACCUGAUGUGGCAUAGGUCACAGUUUAUGUACUCUUGUACUACUACUAUAGGUUCUGCUAUUUUACACACAACUAUCUAUGAACAUACUUGCACAUCCAUAUCUAAUGUCAGAUAAAUAUAUAUGCUCAUUUUCCGUUGUUUUAAGGCUCAUCCUCAGGUUCAUUACAUCGAACCAGAUGGUUGCAAUAAUCUCCAUUAUGAACAAUUGUUGGUGUGUUCAUGCUGAUGCUUGGAGAAAUAAAUCAUUUUUCUAAGCUUUGGUUCUUAUUUGUAGAAGUUGGACGCUUAAUUGGACAUCCCUCCUAUAAAAAUGAAUAUUGAUGCUUAAAAAAUACUCGGUUUCUUUAACUAAGCACCUUGCAUUGUAUAAGGCAGUGGUGCGGUUGGCGAUCCUGCACCCGUCAAUACAUAUUCUACGGCCAACUAGCCAAAAUUAACACUAAUGGCUAUUGUCUACUUUUUUUUUGAGGGAAAUGGCUAUUGUCUACUAAUCUGCCUAUGCUGAUGGAGGGCCGGGCCAAGGCAUGUGCAGCCUGUGCUGCCCGGACAGGGCCCCAAGUUUAUAGGGGCCCCGAAUUUCAUAGGCAGCACAUAGGCCCAUCCAUCAAGCGAACCUCUCGUGCAGGAAAAAACAGCCCAUAUGCCCAGCAAUCUCACAGACAGAUCAGCAAAAAGCUUAUAGUUAUGAAAGGGAGUACUAACUUAUGUGCUUUCAACCACACCAAGAUGUGUCCUUAGCGUGAACCUCCUUCAACGUGAACUAACAUGGUCUCCCACAAUUGUGCUUCGAGAAACACAUAUGUGCCUCCAACGUAAACUAACCCAUGCUCUCACCUACGACACGUGGUGGUGCUGAGAUUUGCCACAUGGAGCGCUCUAGCGCUCCCACCGUGGCAGUAAUGCAAAGCGGGUUGUUCCAUCCGGCACAAACCAUCUACACCACACUAGGCAGGAUGAUGAGAAUUUAAUGGAUGACCCAGUUGAUGAAGAAGAAUAAAAGGUGUUGCAUAUAUACCAAGUCAGUCCUCACGGGCUGACUCUACCGCACUUCAAAAAACUGUACGUCUUGAUACUUAACCCACACGUAUAUGUAUAUAUAAGCUGUACAGUGUCCUA